AUGAAACCAGAUUACGGUUAGGUGUUAAAACUGUUCAUCAUAUAUCUUCAUCGCCUCAGGCUGGCAGUUGAAGCUUAGCAUUAUUUUUCCAGCUGAUGAAGUAAUAAUAAAAGAAAUCUGCAUAAAGGGCUGUCUGGACAAGGCCAGAGACGCAAGAAAUCCAUCUAGUGAAACGCUGCUCUGUCAGAUAGCGGUAAAUCCAGUUUAAGAUGUAAA
rnacentral:misc_RNA from 1 species